CCUACGGGAGGCAGCAGUGGGGAAUUUUGGACAAUGGGCGAAAGCCUGAUCCAGCAAUGCCGCGUGAGUGAAGAAGGCCUUCGGGUUGUAAAGCUCUUUUGUCAGGGAAGAAACGGUGAGAGCUAAUAUCUCUUGCUAAUGACGGUACCUGAAGAAUAAGCACCGGCUAACUACGUGCCAGCAGCCGCGGUAAUACGUAGGGUGCAAGCGUUAAUCGGAAUUACUGGGCGUAAAGCGUGCGCAGGCGGUUUUGUAAGUCUGAUGUGAAAUCCCCGGGCUCAACCUGGGAAUUGCAUUGGAGACUGCAAGGCUAGAAUCUGGCAGAGGGGGGUAGAAUUCCACGUGUAGCAGUGAAAUGCGUAGAUAUGUGGAGGAACACCGAUGGCGAAGGCAGCCCCCUGGGUCAAGAUUGACGCUCAUGCACGAAAGCGUGGGGAGCAAACAGGAUUAGAUACCCUGGUAGUCCACGCCCUAAACGGAUGUCUACUAGUUGUCGGGUCUUAAUUGACUUGGUAACGCAGCUAACGCGUGAAGUAGACCGCCUGGGGAGUUACGGUUGCAAGNUUAAAACUUCAAAGGAUUGACCGGG
rnacentral:rRNA from 1 species